UACAGAGGGUGCUAACGUUGUUCGGAAUCACUGGGCAUAAAGCGCACGUAGGCGGCUUGGUAAGUGCGGUGUGAAAGCCCCCGGCCUAACCGGGGAACUGCAUCGCAGACUGCCAGGCUCGAGAGCGGGAGGGGAGACUGGAACUCCUGGUGGAGCGGUGAAAUGCGUAGAUAUCAGGAGGAACACCUGCGGUGUAGACGGCUUACUGGACCAUCACUGACGCUGAGGCACGAAAGCGUGGGUAGCAAACAGG
rnacentral:rRNA from 1 species